AGGUGGAGACCACACCAGACUCCUCUGGGAAUCUCUGGAAGCCAUGAUCUUCUCCCUAGGGAAAUGCACGCUGGGCUCACAGGUUAACAGAAGCUGCUUGUUCCAGCUGCAAAGAGAAUCCCCAGCCCAGACUCCAGUGCCUGCUCUCAGCAGGACACUCCUGACACCUGCAGCCCCUCCCCAGUUCCUGGAAGCUGUCUCUGUAGAGCAUCCAAUUUCUAAAAGGUAAAUCAGCUCAUGUUGCUUCUCCACCGAAAAGUUCUGUGACUUUCCAUUGUUCUGGAAAAAAGUCCUCCCCGUGGCUGCAGCAAACGUUUUACUGGACUGUGAUACUCUGAGUGAUGUGACACUCCCUCUCCACAUCCUUUCACCUUGUGCUCAAACUGGCUUCCAAUCAACUUCUCUAAUAGAAGAACUUUUCAUUCUCGA